CAACCGCCGUUUUAUGGUAAUCCCAUUUUCCUUCUCGCUGUACACUUCUCGCGCGAUUUCCCAGAAAAAGCAGAAGCGCGGACAGACAUGCGAAGAAGGAGGAGAAUGACCUGAACCGACCCCACCAAACCCCGUAACCUCCCCCACCCAGACCUGUAUGCUCGACCCGGCCUACACUCGGUUGAAUCGCCCCCCCUUACACACCACUCGGCCCACCGUGUCGAUCGAGAGUGCUUUUUGUACUCUUUGGGCCGUCUCUUUAUCGGUUUGGUGAGUCGUACGCCCCCGCGAUGGCCUCGGAUUCCGAGUCGAAGCGAGUAGCAAACGAGCUCUCGUAUCCGAUUCUACUCUGCGAGCGAGUCCGUGUUGCGGUGGACGACGCCGAGUCGUUCAAGCUGGAGUGCGUCGAGGUGUUUAAGCAGGUGGACCGGCUCUCCCACAUGCUCCGGACCCUGGUCCGGUUCUCCAUCGCCACUCCCUCCCUCUAUGAGCGGCCGAUUUGGCGGGUAAUCGCCGACGUCUCCAAGAACCUGGAGCGUGCUCUAACCCUAGUCCGCAAGUGCAAGAGACGGAGCGUACUCCGCCGGGUCGUCACCAUCGUCAGCGCGGCGGAUUUCCGUAAGAUCUUCGGCCUUCUGGAAUCUUCACUCGGCGACAUGAGGUGGCUCCUGAGCAUCUUUGAUUCCGAAAAGGUAGGUGGCAUCGUCCUUUCUCUUCCACCGAUCGCCAGCAACGAUCCGAUUAUCUCCUGGGUUUGGUCCUACAUUGCUACUAUUCAAAUGGCCCAACUGACGGAACGAAUUGAAGCAGCCAAUGAACUCGCUUCGCUAGCCAGAGACAACGACAGGACCAAGCAGAUAAUCGUCGAGGAAGGUGGGGUCCCUCCAUUGCUAAAGCUCUUGAAGGAGGACGCGUCGCCGGACGCUCAGAUUGCUGGGGCGAGCGCGCUUUGCAACCUAGCGAACGACCAAGAAAGGGUGAGAAAUAUCGUGAAUGAGCUCGGGGUUCAGAUUAUAGUUCAAGUCCUCGGGGACUCGCCGUUGAAGGUUCAAUCUCAGGUAGCGACGUUGGUGGCGAGGAUGGCUGAGCAUGACCCUCUGGCGCAAGAGGAUUUCGCGAGAGAUAACGUGAUAAGGCCGCUCGUGACACUGUUGUCUUUCGAGACAUUUGCUGACGAGCAUAGAGAGCAAUCUGGCAAGCAAAGCAUUCAUUCGAUUGUUCAAAUUAAUAAGGAGAUGGAAAAGAAAUCGUUAACUAGGCCAAAUGCCGGACCAUAUACGCAUUCGCAAUCGAGCUCGCAUUACUAUUAUAAUUAUUAUCAUUCCUCGGAGGGGAGUAAGCAUAGGAGAGAGAGGGAGAACGAGAAGCCCCAACUGAAGCUUAGUUUGAAAAUUAGUUGUGCUGAGGCUUUGUGGAAGCUUGCCAAAGGGAGUGUGUCCAACAGUAGGAGGAUAACUGAGACGAAAGGGCUACUUUGUUUGGCCAAGUUGGUGGAGAAAGAAGAGGGUGAGUUGCAGUACAAUUGCUUGAUGACCAUAAUGGAGAUAACGGCUGCGGCUGAGUCCAAUGUUGACCUUAGACGUGCAGCAUUCAAGACUACUUCACCGGCUGCCAAGGCUGUUGUGGAUCAGCUGUUGAGGGUGGUUAGAGAGUUGGACAGCCCUGUCUUGCAAGUUCUGGCCAUAAAAUCGAUUGGUUCGUUGGCAAGGACAUUUCCUGCUAGAGAGACCCGGGUAAUUGGUCCGCUAGUUACUCAUCUUGGCAAUAGAAACCCCGAUGUGGCUGCAGAAGCUGUCAUUUCGUUGCAGAAGUUUGCUUGUCCGGGGAAUUUUCUUUGUAUGGAGCAUUCAAAGACAAUAAUUGAGUUCGAUGGGGUGCCGCCAUUGAUGAAAAUGCUAAGGGGCAAUGAACGGACAUUGUUGCACGGUUUGAUUCUGCUUUGCUACCUUGCAUUACACGUUGGAAAAAGUGACUCUUUGGAACAAGCAAGGGUGUUGACUGCCCUUGAGGGGGUAGACCGUACUGUGGUUGCCCAGCAUCAUGAAUUGAGAGAAUUGGUACCCAAGGCAAUAUACCACCUCAGUCUAUACCACCCGGGAGUCCAUUCCCAAAGGGACUUGUUCUCUUGAGUAGCAUUGUAUCAGAGCAUUUAAUAGAUAAUUUUGAUGAGUAAGGACUCAAAGAAUUUACAUGCAUUCAGCUUCUUGGAUGAAUUAUAAGAGGAAGUGGGUGUUCUAACAUGUCCACAUGCAUGCUGAAUUAGAGUUAAGGUAACUAUGCCCUAAAGAACCAUGGGGCAAGAUAAAAACACCUCAUAUUUUUCCUCUUGGAUCACAGUUCCCAUUCUCAUCUAAUUUUGGUUUAGUUGGAUUGACCGUGCCCUUGGUUUUCACAAGAUUGUCUUGUAAUAGCACCAGGAUAACCAAGCCAAGACACUACGAAUGUAAAUGAUGAACUGAGUGGGAAGCCUGCCUGCUAUUUGGCACCUCUUUUCUGGGAUUUUCAGUGAUUGGCUUUAUUCAUGUUUAGUUACAAAUGGUAAACUGAUCUGGAGGCUAUAACAAAGCCUGUUUGAGACACUUUGAUUUUAUACUGGGACAAAAUCAUUGUUUACAUUCUUUUGGGAGAUGUUAACCAUCCAAUGACAACUCUGUAGAUCGGUGAUGGCAUCAAAAUCGAUUUGUAAUUACAAUACAAGGCAUAUGCCAGUCACUGGCUUGCUAUGUGAAAUAUCAUCAAAGGAGGUUCGUUUUAAU